UAGCAACAUCGUCAUUUAUCGAGAAGAGAGCCACCGAGAAGAACGUGUUUGCAGAGAGAGCCAUAGAUUGUCUCCUAGUUCGUGAUUAUCUAGCAGCAGAUUGAAAAAGGCUCAGUAGUCCCCUACAGUUGCCGAGCUUGAGCAAGGCAAUGCAGUGGGUGCAAAAGGGUAUCACCAUCAAAGAAUGAGCCUGAAAAAGAAAAAAUCCCAGUGAAGCAGUCACAAUCCACAAGGGGGCAUUGUAAAGAUGCAGGGUUAACUCCAGUUGCUAUGGCGACAUGUGGGAACUAAGUACAGUUGUCCCAGGAAACUGGAGGAAGUGGAAUAAGUGUGUAGUGUAGUCUGUUGGGUUCAGUCUAGUUUUAUGUUUAUUUAUCCAUCAGUAAAAUGAUUAUAACUUUGAAUACUUGAUUUGAACUCUUUAAGUUAACAACAAAACCCUACAGUUUGAAAUCUGUUGUAAUUUUGUCUUUUAUUUCAGGAACUGAUAAGUACAUUUUGUUUCAUUUUAUAUUAAGUUGUCAAUGUUUUGAUCAGUCUUUCUAGAAGUAGCAAUUAUGUACUGUGUAAAUUAUUGAUGUAUUUUUACAUAUUACAACCUUGGUUCUUUAUAAAGUCCCUUUUCAGGUUUUAGGGGGCAAAUGCAAUAACUUUGUUCUUGCCUGCUGCUGCUGCAUCCUUUAUCCCUGGUUGUAAGUCUGAUUGUACAUUCAUCUAGAACACCAAAUGACAUGUUGCGAUAUUUCUGAUACUAUAUAAUUGUAAACAAAACCAACAUAAAUGAUGCUGAGCAUUUUUUUUUCAUAUGCAAUUUUUAGU
rnacentral:lncRNA from 1 species